GAUCAAAUUGAUGGGGUUGAAUGUGCGCCAGCUCACUAACAUAAGCCCCUCGCGCGAUCAGUAUUUCUAUUCCGGUUCUCUGUUCGUCGGCCAUGGCGGUUGCCGUCUUUCCGGGCUGUGCUGGAGCUAGCCGAGUGACCGCACAUCCAUGGAUGCGAGCUAUACGUUGUUCGUCGUUCUCUUCUCCUUCCCCAUGUCCUCCACUUCCUCCUCACUCCUCUGUCGAGCCAUCCACGUCGCUUCCGUCUCCUGAGUCCUCUUCCGCUUCCUCCUUCUUUCCGAAGCGAGGGAAAACACUGGAGCUCGUCUGCGAAUCCCUCGCCUUCAAGGGAACGGGCGUUUGCAAGGUAGCCGACACGGGCUUCGUUGUCAUGUGCGACCGCGCUCUCCCAGGCGAACGUUUCAUCGGCCGCGUAUCCCGAAAGAAAGGGAAUUACGCCGAGGUGACGAAGCUGAAGACGAUCACCCCGCAUUGGGAUUUAGUUGAAGCGCCAUGUGCAUACGCUUCCUACUGUGGAGGUUGCAAGACCCAAAAUCUUCACUACAAGGCACAGCUGAAGGCCAAGGAACUUCAAGUUCGAGACUUGAUCAUUCAUGUGGGCAGGUUUUCCAGCACGGAUUGUGCAAAAGAUUGUAUUUUCAAACCAAUCGUACCCUGUGACAUGCAUUUUCACUACCGAAACAAGAUGGAGUUCUCCUUUAGUGCUCAGUGCUGGGUGCCUAGCGAUGGUCCCAGGGGGGGUCAGGAUUUGAUUGAGAAUGGUUAUGCAUUGGGAUUGCAUGUUCCCGGAUUUUUUGAUAAGGUGCUUCAUAUUGACAAAUGUAUGUUACAAAGUGAAGCUACUAAUAAGGUUCUAGCAAUUGUUCAAGAUUGUUGGAGAGAUCCAAGUCUUGGCCUUUCUCCCUAUGAUGUGCAUACCCACCGUGGAUUUCUUAAACACUUGAUGCUAAGAACUGGAAGGGAUAAAAUGACUGGCUUUGCAGAAGUUAUGGUUAAUUUUGUCACAUCAAGCUACAAACCUGAGAUGCUGGAUCCUCUUGUUAGGAGGAUUUCUACUAUACCUGAAGUGGUUAGUGUCAUGAAUAAUGUGACUUCAUCUGUUGGUAAUACAUCUGUUGGGGAGCAAGAGUACACUCUUUAUGGAAAAUCAACCAUUAACGAAUUGUUAAGAGGACUUACAUUCAACGUUUCAGCCAAUUCUUUUUUCCAGACGAAUUCUUACCAGGCUGAGGUUUUAUAUAAGUUGAUAGAAGAUUUUGCUAAUCUCAAGGGAGACCUAUCAGAGAUUGUGUUGGAUCUCUUUUGUGGAACUGGAACUAUUGGAUUGACUCUUGCAAGAAGGGUGAGACAUGUCUAUGGAUUUGAAGUUGUUAAACAAGCUGUCUCAGAUGCUCGUCAAAAUGCUGUGCUCAAUGGCAUCCAUAAUGCCACAUUCAUUCAAGGAGACCUCAAUAAAAUUGAUGGUGAUUUUGGGAAAGAAUUCCCAAAACCUGACAUUGUCAUCUCAGAUCCUAAUCGACCAGGCAUGCACUUGAAGCUCAUUAAAUAUCUACUUAAUCUUCAGGCUUCACGUAUUAUCUAUAUUUCCUGCAAUCCAGCAACCUGUGCGCGUGACCUUGAUUACCUUUGCCAUGGUCUGCCUGAGAAAAAUUUAAGUGGGUGCUAUCGGUUAAAAUGUGUACAACCAGUGGACAUGUUCCCUCACACGCCACACAUUGAGUGUAUCUGUGUACUGGAGCUCUGUUAGCUAUCGGCAUAUUUUAUUAACCUGGUUUAGUGUGAAGCUGGGAUCCCAUGGUGUUAGCGUCCGGGCUUGCAGUUCUCACAAAGAAUUCGGUUCAUCUUGAAGAAUUACUAUAGAGAGGAAUAAAAAAAUAAUUGAUGGAAGUUGCUACUGCGUUUGCUGCAGCCACAAAAAUUUUGUCUUAGGGCUCAUCAUUUUAUCUCUAAUGUAGCUGAGAUGUACUGACUUUCGAUUCCGAAGGAGUGAUUGAAGAAGCCAAACCAUCAGAGCAGAAGAAGAGAAUAAUGAAAAGAAAAUGUAUUAGUGGGAAUUCCAUCACUAAACAAGUAAGAAAAUGCUGCGAGGAUUUGAAAGAAAGCUCUGGGUAAGUUUUAAAGACAAGUGGAGGAGAGAGUAUAGGAUGUUGAGAAUGGGACUAAAGAAAAAUUGCAUUGCCAGGCUUUGCACAAAUGGUGACACUCAAUAAGGGCAAAAUAUAAGUUG